GGAAUGUAUCACAGUGUUGUUCAACAAAGGUUUUUAUGAGCUCAAAGGUUGAUGCACCAGAUGAGCUUACCUGGAUGCACUUACAUCAAACUUGGUCAGAUGGAUCCGGAGGAAAGGAUGACAUACCUUGGUUUAUCUAGAAUACUUACACCUUCCAAAAUCACAUUUGUUAAAAGCAUGCCUAAGGUGCCAAACCAUUCACCCGAGGCUCCAACGCUUCAGAGUCUGUUUGCGAGUUGGGUUUUGGAGGUGAAUGAAGGGAAAUGGAAGGCUUUAGAGCCAUGUGAAACUGUAUUUCAUGGCACACAAGCCUUUCUCUUCCCUCGAUUACCCCAAAAACCAACUCACAAACAGACCCCAAAGUGUAGGGUACCUUGAGGCAAGCCCAUCCAUGACAUUGACAGCUUUUGUCUUGUAUUUUAUUUCUUUGUAAUACUAGUUUUCAACAAGUUGAUUGGCCAGAACCAACUCCACAAAAGUAACUACAUUGUAGAUAUGGAUUUCAUUCCUUCCUCACCAGGUAAAUUCAUACCCAUAUCUUGUUGUAACACUCUGCACAAUCUCAAAAAUAAUGUCAGAGAUAUGUCUUGUUUU